CUGCGAUUUCUGCGACUUACCACCGUAUGAAAAAGUUACUCUGCCCACACAGAAAAUUGCAUCUCAACAAACCUGUCAUUGGUACCUGAACUACAUUUCAGUUACUCAGUAAAUUGAUAACUCAAAAUAUCAUUGUCAACAUAUCUGGAGAAAUUGCCACUACGUCUUUAGACCGUAUUCGUCAGACGAGAGACACAGUUCUGACACUUGAUAACUGGUUGCUGUACGUAUCUAUCCACAUCAAGGCUGUUGAGGGAGACUCGUGAAGAUUCAAGACAGCUCUUAGAGGAUUUGCAGUUUAAAAGUGACAUAAUUGUGA